CUCGUAGUUGGACCUGUGUUCCACGCUGUCGGUUCGCCGCCCGUCGGUGUCAACUGGCAUGUCCUGUGGAACGUCCUGCCGGUGGCGGUCCGGGCUUUCGGCUUGCGUAAGGGCUCACGCCCGAAGCAGGCCGAACAGUACCGGCCGCCGGUCCAAUCCCGCCACGGUGCUCUUCACCGAGUGUCGAGGUGGGCCGGCACGUUUACUUUGAACAAAUUAGAGUGCUUAAAGCAGGCUGGUGUCCGCCUGAAUACUGUGUGCAUGGAAUAAUAGAAUAGGACCUCGGUUCUAUUUUGUUGGUUUUCGGAACCCGAGGUAAUGAUUAAUAGGGACAGGCGGGGGCAUUCGUAUUGCGACGUUAGAGGUGAAAUUCUUGGAUCGUCGCAAGACGAACCUAAGCGAAAGCAUUUGCCAAGUAUGUUCUCGUUAAUCAAGAACGAAAGUUAGAGGUUCGAAGGCGAUCAGAUACCGCCCUAGUUCUAACCAUAAACGAUGCCAGCCAGCGAUCCGCCGAAGUUCCUCCGAUGACUCGGCGGGCAGCUUCCGGGAAACCAAAGCUUUUGGGUUCCGGGGGAAGUAUGGUUGCAAAGCUGAAACUUAAAGGAAUUGACGGAAGGGCACCACCAGGAGUGGAGCCUGCGGCUUAAUUUGACUCAACACGGGAAACCUCACCAGGCCCGGACACCGGAAGGAUUGACAGAUUGAGAGCUCUUUCUUGAUUCGGUGGGUGGUGGUGCAUGGCCGUUCUUAGUUGGUGGAGCGAUUUGUCUGGUUAAUUCCGAUAACGAACGAGACUCUAGCCUGCUAACUAGGCGAUUCCGGUACCCACAAUAGUGUUACCGGCGAUUCAAUUUCUUCUUAGAGGGACAGGCGGCUCCUAGCCGCACGAGACUGAGCAAUAACAGGUCUGUGAUGCCCUUAGAUGUCCUGGGCCGCACGCGCGCUACACUGAAGGAAUCAGCGUGUCUUCCCUGGCCGACAGGCCCGGGUAACCCGUUGAACCUCCUUCGUGCUAGGGAUUGGGGCUUGCAAUUGUUCCCCAUGAACGAGGAAUUCCCAGUAAGCGCGAGUCAUAAGCUCGCGUUGAUUACGUCCCUGCCCUUUGUACACACCGCCCGUCGCUACUACCGAUUGAAUGAUUUAGUGAGGUCUUCGGACUGGUGCGCGGCGAUCGGCCUAUACUGCCGGCCGCCGAUGUUGCCGGAAAGAUGACCAAACUUGAUCAUUUAGAGGAAGUAAAAGUCGUA
rnacentral:rRNA from 1 species